rnacentral:rRNA from 1 species
UACGUAGGGGGCAAGCGUUGUCCGGAAUCAUUGGGCGUAAAGCGCGUGUAGGCGGCUCGGUAAGUCCGCUCUGAAAGUCGGGGGCUCAACCCUCGGAUGCGGGUGGAUACUGUCGAGCUUGAGUGCGGAAGAGGCGAGUGGAAUUCCUGGUGUAGCGGUGAAAUGCGCAGAUAUCAGGAGGAACACCAAUUGCGAAGGCAGCUCGCUGGGACGUUACUGACGCUGAGACGCGAAAGCGUGGGGAGCAAACAGG